CGUUGAUCCAGAGAUUUCCGAAUGGGGGAACCCACUAUCUUUAGUCGGAUAGUAUCCUUACGUGAAUACAUAGCGUGAGGAAGGCAGACCCAGGGAACUGAAACAUCUAAGUACCUGGAGGAAGAGAAAGAAAAAUCGAUUUCCUGAGUAGCGGCGAGCGAAACGGAAAGAGCCCAAACCAAGAAGCUUGCUUCUUGGGGUUGUAGGACACUCUAUACGGAGUUACAAAAGAAAGUUAUAAAUGAAGCGGUCUGGAAAGGCCCGCCAAAGACGGUAACAGCCCGGUAGUUGAAAUGGCUUUCCCUCCAGAGUGGAUCCUGAGUACGGCGGAACACGUGAAAUUCCGUCGGAAUCCGGGAGGACCAUCUCCCAAGGCUAAAUACUCCCUAGUGACCGAUAGUGAACCAGUACCGUGAGGGAAAGGUGAAAAGCACCCCGGAAGGGGAGUGAAACAGUUCCUGAAACCGUGUGCCUACAAGUAGUUAGAGCCCGUUAAUGGGUGAUAGCGUGCCUUUUGUAGAAUGAACCGGCGAGUUACGAUUUGUUGCAAGGUUAAGCGGAAAAAGCGGAGCCGUAGCGAAAGCGAGUCUGAAUAGGGCGCAUAAGUAACAGGUCGUAGACCCGAAACCAGGUGAUCUACCCAUGUCCAGGAUGAAGGUAAGGUAAUACUUACUGGAGGUCCGAACCCACGCACGUUGAAAAGUGCGGGGAUGAGGUGUGGGUAGCGGAGAAAUUCCAAUCGAACUUGGAGAUAGCUGGUUCUCUCCGAAAUAGCUUUAGGGCUAGCCUCGAGGUAAAGAGUCAUGGAGGUAGAGCACUGUUUGGACUAGGGGCCCUUCUCGGGUUACCGAAUUCAGAUAAACUCCGAAUGCCAUGUACUUAUACUCGGGAGUCAGACUGCGAGUGAUAAGAUCCGUAGUCGAAAGGGAAACAGCCCAGACCACCAGUUAAGGUCCCCAAAUAUAUGUUAAGUGGAAAAGGAUGUGGGGUUGCUUAGACAACCAGGAUGUUGGCUUAGAAGCAGCCACCAUUGAAAGAGUGCGUAAUAGCUCACUGGUCGAGUGACCCCGCGCCGAAAAUGUACCGGGGCUAAACAUAUUACCGAAACUGUGGAUGAACCUCUUUAGAGGUUCGUGGUAGGAGAGCGUUCUAAGGGCGGUGAAGUCAGACCGGAAGGACUGGUGGAGCGCUUAGAAGUGAGAAUGCCGGUAUGAGUAGCGAAAGAAGGGUGAGAAUCCCUUCCACCGAAUAUCUAAGGUUUCCUGAGGAAGGCUCGUCCGCUCAGGGUUAGUCGGGACCUAAGCCGAGGCCGAUAGGCGUAGGCGAUGGACAACAGGUAGAGAUUCCUGUACCAGUGCUAAUUGUUUAACCGAUGGGGUGACACAGAAGGAUAGGGAAUCGCACGAAUGGAAAUGUGCGUCCAAGCAGUGAGUGUGAGAAGUAGGCAAAUCCGCUUCUCGCGAAGCAUGAGCUGUGAUGGGGAAGGAAAUUAAGUACGGAAGUUCCUGAUUUCACGCUGUCAAGAAAAGCCUCUAGGAAGAGUAGUACUGCCCGUACCGCAAACCGACACAGGUAGAUGAGGAGAGAAUCCUAAGGUGAGCGAGAGAACUCUCGUUAAGGAACUCGGCAAAAUGACCCCGUAACUUCGGGAGAAGGGGUGCUCUAUUAGGGUGCAAGCCCGAGAGAGCCGCAGUGAAUAGGCCCAGGCGACUGUUUAGCAAAAACACAGGUCUCUGCAAAACCGUAAGGUGACGUAUAGGGGCUGACGCCUGCCCGGUGCUGGAAGGUUAAGAGGAGUGCUUAGCUUCGGCGAAGGUACGAAUUGAAGCCCCAGUAAACGGCGGCCGUAACUAUAACGGUCCUAAGGUAGCGAAAUUCCUUGUCGGGUAAGUUCCGACCCGCACGAAAGGCGCAACGAUCUGGGCACUGUCUCAACGAGAGACUCGGUGAAAUUAUAGUACCUGUGAAGAUGCAGGUUACCCGCGACAGGACGGAAAGACCCCGUGGAGCUUUACUGCAACCUGAUAUGGAAUGUUUGUACCGCUUGUACAGGAUAGGUAGGAGCCGAAGAGACGUGUGCGCUAGCAUACGAGGAGGCAAUGGUGGGAUACUACCCUGGCUGUAUGACCAUUCUAACCCGCCACGCUUAGCGCGUGGGGAGACAGUGUCAGGUGGGCAGUUUGACUGGGGCGGUCGCCUCCUAAAGAGUAACGGAGGCGCCCAAAGGUUCCCUC
rnacentral:rRNA from 1 species